rnacentral:rRNA from 1 species
GGUAAAAAAGCUCGUAGUUGGAUUUCUGUUGAAGUUGGCCGGUCCAUACCACGUAUGCGCAUCUGGUUUUUCAACUUCGGCAUCCUCUCGAAAUACGUCUCUGUGCUUGAUUGCAUGGAACGGAGUUCGGGACUUUUACUUUGAGGAAAUUAGAGUGUUCACGGCAGGCUAUCGCCCGAAUACGUUAGCAUGGAAUAAUGAUAUAGGAUCUUGAUUCUAUUUUGUUGGUUUCUAGAAUUAGGAUAAUGAUUAAUAGGGACAAUUGGGGGCAUUCGUAUCAACACGUCAGAGGUGGAAUUCUUGGAUUGUGUUGCGACGAACUACUGCGAAAGCAUUUGCCAAAGAUGUUUUCAUUGAUCAAGAACGAAAGUAAGGGGAUCGAAGAUGAUUAGAUACCGUCGUAGUCUUUACCACAAACUAUGCCAACUAGAGAUGGGACAUCGUUCAUUUACGACUUGUUCCGCACCUUAUGAGAUAUCAAAGUUUCUGGGUUCCGGGGGGAGUAUGAUCGCAAGAUUGGAACUUAAAGGAAUUGACGGAAGGGCACCACCAGGAGUGGAGCCUGCGGCUUAAUUUGACUCAACACGGGAAAACUCACCUGGUCCAGACAUAAUAAGGAUUGACAGAUUGAUAGCUCUUUCUUGAUUUUAUGGGUGGUGGUGCAUGGCCGUUCUUAGUUCGUGGAGUGAUUUGUCUGGUUAAUUCCGUUA